AGAGAGGUUAGAGGACCGGAUGUUGCCAUAACCGUGUGAGUGUCCCCAGUGUUGUGCCAAUUCAUAACUCGGGCCGCUAAGUGAGUUAAUACGAAUUCUGAGCUUGAGCGUUGCUGAGGAUCUCUUCCAGUGCUUGGAAAUGACGUAAAGGCUCUCUUGGAGCAUCAUUUGAACAAAUUAAGUCAAAUUACCAAAAGCACCUGCUGGGCUCCUGUAAGACGACGUCAUGAGUUCUAAAGGAAAGUAUGUAGACUUGGACAGACUCAGCUCCACAGCAAAUAACGUUUGAAGGAAAGUUUCAAGAGCUCCUAUAAUUGUACCUUCCUGAAAACAGAAGGUUCUGAAAUCUCCCACAAAACACCUGUUAAGUUUGGGCAUUAUAUUUAGGGAAAACAUUUUGAAAUAUGCAGCAGUGGAAACAACAAAGGACUUAAUGUCAAAAGACCUGCUUCAAGUCUGGUUUAAAUAAUCUUGCUUAUACACUUGGGGACUCUUAUGGAAGUGUUGGGGGGAGGCUUGAGGACCUCAAAGGGGAUAGGAACUCCACAGGAAGACCAACAGAGCCAACUAACCUGGAGCCCUGGGAGCUCUUAGAGACUGAGCCACCAACCAAAGAGCAUACACGAGCUGCAACAAGGCCCCAGGCACGCAGCUCAGUCUC
rnacentral:lncRNA from 1 species